GACGAACGCUGGCGGCGUGCCUAAUACAUGCAAGUAGAACGCUGAAGGAGGAGCUUGCUUCUCCGGAUGAGUUGCGAACGGGUGAGUAACGCGUAGGUAACCUGCCUGGUAGCGGGGGAUAACUAUUGGAAACGAUAGCUAAUACCGCAUAACAGUAGAUAUUGCAUGAUAUCUGCUUGAAAGGUGCAAUUGCAUCACUACCAGAUGGACCUGCGUUGUAUUAGCUAGUUGGUGAGGUAACGGCUCACCAAGGCGACGAUACAUAGCCGACCUGAGAGGGUGAUCGGCCACACUGGGACUGAGACACGGCCCAGACUCCUACGGGAGGCAGCAGUAGGGAAUCUUCGGCAAUGGACGGAAGUCUGACCGAGCAACGCCGCGUGAGUGAAGAAGGUUUUCGGAUCGUAAAGCUCUGUUGUAAGAGAAGAACGAGUGUGAGAGUGGAAAGUUCACACUGUGACGGUAUCUUACCAGAAAGGGACGGCUAACUACGUGCCAGCAGCCGCGGUAAUACGUAGGUCCCGAGCGUUGUCCGGAUUUAUUGGGCAUAAAGCGAGCGCAGGCGGUUAGAUAAGUCUGAAGUUAAAGGCUGUGGCUUAACCAUAGUACGCUUUGGAAACUGUUUAACUUGAGUGCAAGAGGGGAGAGUGGAAUUCCAUGUGUAGCGGUGAAAUGCGUAGAUAUAUGGAGGAACACCGGUGGCGAAAGCGGCUCUCUGGCUUGUAACUGACGCUGAGGCUCGAAAGCGUGGGGAGCAAACAGG
rnacentral:rRNA from 1 species